rnacentral:rRNA from 1 species
GACGAACGCUGGCGGCGUGCUUAACACAUGCAAGUCGAACGGGAUUUAGUAGACGGAAACCUCGGUGGAAGAUUACUAAUGAGAGUGGCGAACGGGUGAGUAACGCGUGAGCAACCUGCCUAUGACAGUGGGAUAGCCUCGGGAAACCGGGAUUAAUACCGCAUAAAAUCGUAGAAACACAUGUUUCAACGGUCAAAGAUUUAUCGGUCGUAGAUGGGCUCGCGUCUGAUUAGCUAGUUGGUGAGAUAACAGCCCACCAAGGCGACGAUCAGUAGCCGGUCUGAGAGGAUGAACGGCCACAUUGGAACUGAGACACGGUCCAAACUCCUACGGGAGGCAGCAGUGGGGAAUAUUGCACAAUGGGGGAAACCCUGAUGCAGCGACGCCGUGUGAACGAAGAAGGUAUUCGUAUCGUAAAGUUCUGUCCUAUGGGAAGAUAAUGACAGUACCAUAGAAGAAAGCUCCGGCUAAAUACGUGCCAGCAGCCGCGGUAAUACGUAUGGAGCGAGUGUUGUCCGGAAUUAUUGGGCGUAAAGGGUACGCAGGCGGUUUAAUAAGUCGAAUGUUAAAGAUCGGGGCUCAACCCCGUAAAGCAUUGGAAACUGAUAAACUUGAGUAGUGGAGAGGAAAGUGGAAUUCCUAGUGUAGUGGUGAAAUACGUAGAUAUUAGGAGGAAUACCAGUAGCGAAGGCGACUUUCUGGACACAAACUGACGCUGAGGUACGAAAGCGUGGGGAGCAAACAGG